rnacentral:rRNA from 1 species
CCCUUAGACGUUCUGGGCCGCACGCGCGCUACACUGACCAGUGCAACAAGCAUCCGUCCUUGGCCGACAGGCUCGGGCAAUCUUUGAACGCUGGUCGUGAUGGGGAUAGAUUAUUGCAAUUAUUAAUCUUCAACGAGGAAUGCCUAGUAAGCGCAAGUCAUCAGCUUGCGUUGAUUACGUCCCUGCCCUUUGUACACACCGCCCGUCGCUCCUACCGAUUGAAUGGUCCGGUGAAGCGUUCGGACCGUGGCCUUUGGACGGUUCGCCGUCUGUUGGCUGCGGGAAGUUCGUUAAACCUUAUCAUUUAGAGGAAGGAGAAGUCGUAACA